rnacentral:rRNA from 1 species
GACGAACGCUGGCGGCGUGCCUAACACAUGCAAGUCGAACGGGAACGCCCCUUUUGGGGUCCCCCGGGUGCGUAACGCGGAGGAACCUGCGCUUAACCUCCCCUUGACUUCCCGAUAACUUUACGAAAACCGGGCAAUUUCCGGGUAGCAAACCUUUCUGCCCUGUGGGGGGGCGCAAGUUUCGGCGGUUUUUGGUGGAAUUACGGCUUAACCGCUUCUUGGUGGGGUAGUGGCUUACCAAGGCUUUGACGGGUAGCCGGCCUGAGAGGGCGACCGGCCACAUUGGGACUGAGAUACGGCCCAGACUCCUACGGGAGGCAGCAGGGGGGAAUAUUGCACAAUGGGCGGAAGCCUGAUGCAGCAACGCCGCGUGCGGGAUGACGGGCUUCGGGUUGUAAACCGCUUUCAGCAGGGGCGAAGCUUGUGGUGACGGUACCUGCAGAAGAAGCACCGGCUAACUACGUG